AGUACACCAUUUUUGACCAAUUUCAACUACAAAAUGCUAUGAAUGCACUGUUAUGCACGUAAUGUUGCGAAUGCUUGCGAUGCAAGUAUGAAUGCAAGACGAGGUAAAUGGCUUGACUGGGAAUAACAAAACCAAAUGGUACCCGAUUUUGUUAAAGAAAAGGGGUCCGACUGGGGAUCACAUGGUUUUAUUGGGGGUAAAUGUCAGCUGUUCGGGUUAUUGCCAAACUAGCCAACUGAUAAGGAACAAAGAUAAAUGUCAACUGUUCGGGUUAUUGCCGAACUAGCCAAUCUGACAAAAACAAAGAUACAUAUCAACUGUCCGGGUUAUUGCCGAACUAAUCAACUGAUAAGAAACAAAGAUAGAUGUCAACUGUUCAGGUUAUUGCUGAACUGAUCAACUGACAAGAAUUGAAGAUAAAUGUCAACUGUUCAGGUUAUUGCUGAACUAACCAAC
rnacentral:lncRNA from 1 species